rnacentral:lncRNA from 1 species
GGAAAUCAAUUUUACAUUCAUUUCCAAUCUGAUUACUGGCACAGAAUUAUAGAUCUGUAGAACUUUAGUAAUUUUUCUGUUCUCUGGGUAUAGAUAUAAACUUGAUUAGAGAAUAAAGAAAUUCCUAAUAUGGAUCUAUAAAUAUUAUGCCAGCAGACAAACUGGAAAUGAAUAUAAAAUUGCCUUCUGGGGAAAACAAAACAAUUACACGCUUUGAUUAAUAAACAUGGGCCAGAAUUUUACCUCUAAUUUAAGAUGGAAACCACUCAGGGUUUGUGAGGGCUGACAGUUUGUCAGAACAAAAAUCAGGACGGCACCAAAGAAACUUUGAACAUCCUUGUACAUACUUUGUAGUAAGAACUUAACUAGAAUCCAAAGAGCGUAGCUGAGAACAGGUGUCUCCAUAAUGUACUGCUGGCAUUGCUCCUGUUUGAGAGGAAGUAGCUAUUAUUGAAUUUUAUGGAAACAGAAAUAACUUUUCACUUGAAUAAAGGGUCUUCUUUUUAUGUGAGUCAUUAUUUUCAGUAAGUGAAGCUCUGCCAAUGAAAUGGGUCAAAAAAGAAAACUAACAGAAGAAAACUACCAAAAUUUACAGAAUUAUAGAUCCGGCUCUGUUUAGAAUUUCCAUAAGCUUAAUUUAGCAAUAAAUGCUUGCCUGUGAAUUCAGGCUUAAAUUAAAUUCAUAGGAGCCUAAUAUAAACCCAGCACCAAUCCUUAAAUAAUUUAACUACUUUCUUGCCUUUCUGUAUUCCAUGUCCUUAUGAAACCCUUGAAUUUUCAUGAAGAGUUUUUAGCAUGUAUACUUAUAGUUUUUUUACUAGUUAUAACAUUCAUAUAAAAGGUCUGGGUUAAUCAUUUGAGAAUAUUUGCUAAAUGCUUUUUAAAUCCACAGGGUGGUGGGAACUAGGAGAACACACACAUGGUCCGAUGCCCUGUAAAUUCAGUGCUGCCUGGAAACUCCUGAAUGGCAUGGCAACUGAGUUGGCUUGAUGACUUAAAGUAAACCACAUUCUGUGAGUGCUCCAGUCAGCCUUAGGCACUAAGGAAGGACACCAGCUCUGUUUGUAAGACCAAACAUGUCUGCAUUACUCCUUUUUCCUCCCAUUUCAAUCUGAAUUUCUGGUUCUAUGCAUAUAGAAAACCCAUUUAAAAGAAAAAAAGAAAGAAAGAAAAGCACACGUUCUCAAGCCGCUGAGGAAAUGGGGAGGUAUUAGAUGCUGAAGGCAGUCAUCUAUCAAAUAUACCUUAGAUACUGAAAGAGGCAUAUUUUCCAUUAAAGGGGUGGGAAUGGGAGCCCAUAAGAGGGAAAAAGGAAAGGGGGGGCCGGGCAGCACAGAGAACGGGGCUCAUCUUUAUGGAAUAUGACCAAGGCAUGUGAGAAGUAUUAUCAAUCAAGAAGCAAAACUCUAUGUCAUUGAGCGGAACCUAGAUUUUAAUAGAUGACUCAGAUCAAGUGCUUUCUUUUUUCUUCUUCUUAUUUAAUUGCCUGUGUGGGCUGGUGAGCAAGUCCAAAAAUAUUCGCUAAAACCCCGUGCGUCCUCUUCCAAAUCAAUUUACAGAUUGUAAAUGAGCUUCUGCUGAUCAAUUCUUGUGGGGACAUGAAAUUUCAGCUUCGAACAAGGGCCCAUUUUGCAAAAAUAUUUAGUCUUCAGUCAAAGCCUAUCCGAUGAAAAUCUUGUUGGCCAGAACUAAUUUUAGUUGUAUGUGCAAAAUACAUUAAAAUAUAACAGCAGGUAUUUUGAUUUAAAUAAGAUCUAUUUGAAAAUAAUAUGGAUAAUAAAAUUUCUUCUCAAGCUUCCCUGGUUGGCUUUCUUUGCAAUACUUUUUAAAGUGCUCGUUUGCAUUAAAAGCCAGAGUAUUUCAAGGAAUACCAUUUAACACUAUAUGAUUUUGGCAAAAAUGCAAGCACUACUGACUGAAUAACAUUAACAACAUAAGGCUAAAUGUUAAUAGUAAGGUGAGUCUGGCAUGCUGUUACAAUGUGUGAUAUGGCAAUGGAAGCAUUAAUAAUUUUAGAAUUAUUAGCACCUAAAUAUCAUGUCAAACUACCCCCAGGCUACCCAGUGGGCAUUCGUUAUAUAUUUCCCAUUGUGGCUCAGCAGUAAUGAAUCUGACUAGUAUCUAUGAGGAUCUGGGUUCAAUCCCUGGCCCUGCUCAGUGGGUUAAGGAUCCGGUGUUGCCAUAAGUGGUGCUGUAGGUCGCAGAUGCAUCUUGGACUCCAAGUUGCUGUGGCUGUGGUGUAGGCCGGCAGCUGAAGCUCUGAUACAACCUCUCUCCUGGGAAUAUCUAUAUGUCACAUAUAUGGCGCUAAAAAGCAAAAAAACAAAACAAAACAAAAACCGAGCUGCAGAGGUGGGCUUAUACCAUUCCCUCAGAGACCAGCUCUCUCUUCUCCUUACACGACUGAGCUUAUCAUACCCAGGACUCAGCUUCCCUCUCCUUUUCCCUCUCCUGUCUCAGCUGACACAUGUAGUCCCACCUUGUACUGCCUUCCUUGGACAUCAAAAUGACCAAGAAAGAGAACUCAACUGGGUCCAUUAGGCACAUCCAACAUGGAGCAUCUC